rnacentral:rRNA from 1 species
CCUACGCGUGGCAGCAGUGAGGAAUAUUGGUCAAUGGGCGGAAGCCUGAACCAGCCAAGUCGCGUGCGGGAUUAAGGCCCUGCGGGUCGUAAACCUCUUUUGCCGGGGAGCAGUGGUCCGGACGCGUCCGGACCGGGAGAGUACCCGGAGAAAAAGCAUCGGCUAACUCCGUGCCAGCAGCCGCGGUAAUACGGAGGAUGCGAGCGUUAUCCGGAUUUAUUGGGUUUAAAGGGUGCGUAGGCGGGCAUUUAAGCCGGCGGUCAACUGUCGGGGCUCAACCCCGGCCUGCCGUCGGAACUGGGUGCUGUGAGUGGGCGAGAAGUACGCGGAAUGCGUGGUGGAGCGGUGAAAUGCAUAGAUAUGACGCAGAACCACGAUUGCGAAGGCAGCAUACCGGCGCCCUACUGACGCUGAGGCACGAAAGUGCGGGUAUCGAACAGGAGUAGAGACCCUUGUAGUC